GGAGACCCAGGCCCCAGUUCUACCCACCCAGCCGUGGCUACCCCCAAGAAGCCGUGAUCGGGAGCCCUGAGCUCCCCCAGAGCUGCUUCCCACGCCGUGGCCAACAACGAAGGCAGAAACCUGGGAACCUGCUAAGCAGGUCAGAACAGGUGGAUAAAAGUAACCACCCAGUGACAGCUGGGGAACCAGAAGAAGAGGUACAUAUCAAGGCCCUGAAAGACAGAGGCAGACUGCAAUUUCAAAGACAGGUGGAGGCCUAGAGCCAGCGCUAUGUGCAUACAAGCUCUCUACCAC